GACGAACGCUGGCGGCGUGCUUAACACAUGCAAGUCGAACGGAAAGGCCCUGCUUUUGUGGUGUGCUCGAGUGGCGAACGGGUGUGUAACACGUGAGUAACCUGCCCUUGACUUUGGGAUAACUUCAGGAAACUGGGGCUAAUACCGGAUAGGAGCUCCUGCUGCAGGGGGGGGGGUGGAAAGUUUCGGCGGGUGGGGAUGGACUCGGGGGUUAUAAGCUUGUUGGGGGGGGAGGGGGUUACCAAGGGUUUCACGGGUAGCCGGCCUGAGGGGGUAACCGGCACAAUUGGGACUGGGAAAGGGCCAGAACCCCAACGGGAGGCAGCAGUGGGGAAUAUGGCACAAUGGGCGGAAGCCUAAUGCAGCAACGCCGCGUGCGGGAUGACGGCCUUCGGGUUGUAAACCGCUUUCGCCUGUGACGAAGCGUGAGUGACGGUAAUGGGUAAAGAAGCACCGGCUAACUACGUG
rnacentral:rRNA from 1 species